rnacentral:lncRNA from 1 species
AUGCAUUGUAAAAUAUGCCUAAACCUUGACAUUGCAGAAGGCGGCAUAGUGAACUUCAACAGCUUCAUGGUUGCCUUGGGGAAAACACAGAUCUUCACUGAACUUGCAAUGCUGAAGAAUGCCAUUCAAGCCAUUGAGAAGAUUGAAGGAGACAAGAUGAUUGUGCAUGAUCUGCCUUUCUUUGUGAGAAACAUGGGGAUCCGCAUGUCUGACCAGGAGUUUGAGCAAGCCCUAAAACAGGUCCCUAUAGAUGGUAAGACCCUGCAGAGUAAUCUUUUCAUUUGCAUCCCUGGAAUGCUCCAGCCAACACUGCAGCAGAAAGACUGUUUUCUUUUUCUUUGUGAAAGCAACUGCAGCAGACUGCAGAAAAACUACAAAACCAGUUGCCAUGUUUUGCACUGAAAAUACAUGUAGUUUGGCCAUUUGGUUUAGCUUUAGUUCAUGACAAAUCCUUUCCCCAGAUUACAAAUUUAGACUUUCAAUUGUGGAAGCAGCAUAUUAUGUAGUACUUUCACAGCACUGCAUGGACAAAAAAGAAAGUUGAAGGAUUCUUGAUAUUGAUAAGUCUAGCACUCCAUAACCUUGAACUGCCUGAUUUGACAAAUAAAGUCCCAAUUAAUCCCGUCGUCCCAUGUUUCAGCUGCUUUUAAAAUGUUCUUGUUUGCCUCUAUUCCUCCCUCUUCAUUCCCAGCUUACUUCAAUAGCUAAAUGGAGUUGAAGAAGGUGCAAAUGUAACUAGGGUGGAGAGGACAGAAUGAAGGGAAAUAUGCCAUUCUUGUAGUUUCAGGCAAAAGCAAGCUAUUGACUCCUCUUCUGCUUAUGUGCUCAUCCUUAAUAAUUCCUUAUUAAUAACUUUUGCUAUCUUGAUCACACCUGUUUUUCUUAAAUAUAUACAUAAAUUUUUUCUUGAUUUGCAGGUAGUGGUAAAGUAAUUGUGAAGGACUUCAUUAAAGUUCUUAUUGAUAUUCCGCAUUUCUCAGAACUGUCAGGUGAGUGAAGCAGGCAAGCAGAGGUGGCAUUGCAAUUAUGCUAUUGAAAUUGACUUGUGGGUUAUGCUGAGUUUGUAAAAAUAACAAUAAAAUUGGAUCAAUUUCAAACAGACUGAGGAAACAGCUUAAUGAAAUCAUCAUAGAUGGGAUCACAAAAGCACAAUUACAAAAAAAAAAGUACCUGGAACAAGCCAUAUUAUCCAUUGAUAUCUCCUGAUAUCUAUGAUUUUAGAUAGAAACUAGCUGUGCCCGGCCACGCGUUGCUGUGGCAUUGUCUGGUGGUGUUGGUGAGAAAUUUGAGUUAGUGGUGGUAUUGAAUAUCUGUUGUAUUGUUGUCUUUGUUUAGUAUGUAUUUGGUUGUUUGUGUAAUGUGAAAGUGGUGAGAGUAGAGGGGGUCGCUGCGUAGUAUUGUAUAGUAUGCAUACGUUGUCCAAGUGUUGUGAAUGGUUAGAUUGUGUCUUGGUGCAUAGUAGAAAGGGUUGGGGUGGAUGGCCGUUAGGGGUGUGUCCAAAUUAUUGGAUGGUAUAGUUCUAUGAUGAUUAUUAUUAUUACUAUUAUUGUUGCUGUUAUCAUCAUGAUUAUUAUCUUUAUUAUCAUCAU